rnacentral:sRNA from 1 species
GAGAGGGUGGAUUUUUAAUUAAAACACAUUUUUAAUUACCGUUUUAUGUGGAAAUCAAAUAAAUACACAAUUUGCAGACCACAGAAAUGACAUGACAGAAGACCCCACAUGUGACUUUUUUGGCAAAAAUCUGCUUUCGGGAAUGCGUACAUUUUUGGGGCAAUUAAAAUAUGUUAAGCAGGGUCCAAGCACCACCCCAAAAGGGAGAGAGAGAGAGAGAGAGGCAGCAAUUAAUUUUGCUGUAUUUAUUGCUCAAUGGGGGUAUAUAGGCAAGGCAGGGAAAGGCACGGCAAGGCAAGUCGGAAAACCGACAAGAAUUCAUCAGAGCAAGAACAUGAGAAUUUUCAUGUUCGAAAAGUGGGCAAAAGCAAUCAAAAGAAUAAAAAGGGCAAUCAAUAGGGUGAGCGAGCACUUGAGGCCUUUGCCAAGACAUAUUUUGAAAUAUUUCACUCCCCAAACCCCCUCCACAUGUGUUUCCUUUUUCUUUUUUUUGACACUUUUCCAAGUAAUUAACAACCCCAUUCCACCCUCGAGCCCCAUGUCUGCUCUCUUGCAAUUGCAUUUGCAAUUGAGAAACCAUUUGAGCCAUUACAAACAGCAACAAAAAUACUAAAACCACAAAUGAAUAUAACAUUUUAGAAUUUAUAAAUACUGAAGAGGCGAAGGAAAGACCGACUGAACGAUACGAAAUGAAAUGAAACGAUGUUUUUAUUGAUUUAGCUGUGGGGGAAAAUGUGUGCGAGGCGGCGGCCAACACUUUUAUUGGCUCAUUAAGUGUGCAAACAUCUACGAAUACUCAUUCUUUCGUAUUCUUUUCAUAUUUGUAUCUGGCAUUUGUCCCGCGAGCGAAAGAGAGCGCACAUUACGCAUACGCCGCGUUGUACCGCUUUGAGCCGUUUACAGCACAUUUCAUAGUAAUAAAUCCUCUCAACCCCCAACCCCCCUCCCUCCAGCCUCUCUGUCUCCUGUCCUCUUCUGUCUCUGUCUCCUUUUGGACUGCAAUUCCAUCUUUGAUCAAAGGCCAAAUUGAAUUUGCCUCGUUUUUGGCAGGAAUUUGCAAAUAGAAAUGGGGGUAAAAUGGGUCUUAAAUAUGUUUUUCCCAGCCACACAGCCCCACAGCCGCACAUCCAUCUCGAAUGGCAUUCUCCAAGUAAUGUACAUACACAUUUAUUGUUCAGUUUUCACCGAGUUUUUCCCAUGCCCGAGGCAGGUGUACGGGCAAAUAGAUCUCUUCGCGUGGGUGGGCCCCAGCGAAAUGUGUUUUCUAUUUUCUGUUUUCUGUUUCGCAUAAAUCUUAUGGGAAAUCGUUUGAUGAUUUACCUAACUGGAAACUAAUUGUGCAGCAAAUUAGCCGAAACGAAACAUUUGAGUGGCGAAGGAUUCGCCCCAUUAAAAGCGAUAUCUUUUGGGCCCAAAACUCGCCGGAUUCCCUGCCACUUGAUCCACUUUCCCUCCCCCUUGCAGGCGGCAUCCUGCUUUUUUCCUGGUAACCAAACAAUGGCUUUGAUUUCGGCUGGAAACCGCAACUUAAUUGAAAUGAAAAACAAAUUUUAAUGAAGCAACCGCCAACGCAUGAAGCGACACCCGCCAGGCCAAGGGGGGCGGCGGGGUUAGGGGGGUUGGGAAGGGUGCCACUGAAGGGUGGCUGCAUUUUCAUUUCAACGUUUUCUCUUUUGUUUUUGUCUCCUUGCCCACUUUUUAUUCUGUGUCCAACAUUGUCGCAGUUCUCGUUGCCGCUUUAAGUGUUUUUCUGUCUUUCUUUUUCCUCCGUUCUUUUUUUUUUCAAUGAAUUGAGUGUGGCAGUACAGUGGGCACCGGCUGCCCCCGACCGGCUCUCGAAUCGACUUUCGUCAAAUGGAAACCGUUUCGCAGCAGUCUCUUAUGCAAAUUUUUGCUUUCAUUUCUUUUCCUUUUUGCUGCUCUUUCAAUUUGCGGUUUUGUCGUUUGUUUUUUUAGUGGCACUUGCCACUUGCCACUUGCCGAAUGCGUUUGCAUCUCACUUUUUGAUAGGCUGCGCCACCCAGAGGGGGAGGAGGAGGAGGAACUCUGACCUGACCAGAAGUUUUCCCUUGGAACAGAGGAAGGCACUUAGGUCAUCUCCGUCUGUCCUCUGGGCAGCCUUUUAAAUUGAGGUAAUCCUCUAUCCCAUUCUCUCCCUCUCUCUCCCUCUCUCUCUCUCUGGAUCAACGCAGGGAUCUGGGGCAGCAGUGCAGAAAGGAUUGGUGUCGCUUGUACGAUAGUUUGAGGAGGCACUGCUGUCCAUAACUAACCUUUUGGUCCCCGCUAAAUGUCAAGGAUAUGCCACAUUCUCUGUACUGUUUCCUCUCUCUCUCGUUCCCCGUUUCUCUUCCAGGUUUCUGUUCUUUCGCUGAUUAAAACCAUUGAAAUUUGCAUAAUUCGUAAUGCUCUUUCGGCCCGUAAAGAAGUAAAAGUUUCUUCCUAUUUGGUUUGGCUAAUUAACGGAUUAUCUCGAUUACAUGCAACAUUCCACCCCCCCACCGCCACCCCCACCCCUUACUGCCACUUAACCCUCUUUCUGCCAACCCCUUCGGGGAGAGGGUUCUUCUCGCUCUUCUUCUUUGUUUUCUUAACAAAUUAAGUCAAUUUUUUGGCAGCUGCCUGAGCUCUUGGCUGAAAUUAAUGCAUGAACCCCCUGCCCACUGCCCCCUCCCCGCCACCGCCUCCGGGGCUGGCUCUUCUCUGGUCUUCUCGCUGUGUUAAUUGAAUAAAAAGCACGUGUGUGUGUUUGUGGGGCAGAGGUAGCCUUAGACGUGGCUUGAGGGCUGCAGGGAGGGGGUUGUGUGGGCAGAGCGGGGAGGGGGGUAGGGGAGACACAGGUGUGGCAGCAGCCAAAUAGUUGAGCACGCUCUGCUGCUCUCAAGUGCUGCUGCUGCUGCUGCUCUCGUCCCGCCAGCUGUGACCCAAGUCAUUCACAUAUCCCCCACACCUUCCCCUCCCCUGGCACACCGCUCAGGUAUCCAUUGCUCAAGCCUCGCUUGUGCCAGUGCCAGUGCCUCGUGUGUGCAUCUAAUAAACGCAAAUUGACAGCCAGAGAGAGGGAGAGAACUAUAAAAGAUGAUGCGAGAAGGCAAGCAGAGAGCAGAUCUAGAAGAGGGACAGGCACAGAGCACACUGGGAGCAUUCGUGACAGUUCCCCCUUGGGGCACCGCUGGACUGGACACACAAUGAUCUCAACGACUGGACUGGGCAAACAUUACGAGUACUACGGUUAGAGGAAGGUGCCACAGUCAUCGAUGAGGUAAGAGCGAGAGAGAGAGAGAGAGAGAGAGAGAGAGAGGGGCGAUCUGCGCAUGUGUUGCCUUCUCGCUCUCUCGCUCUCCACUUGCGGAGACUUUUACUCUCUCUUCCGAGUCUCCACUGCCUCUCUCUGCUGUGCCUGUGUGUGGGCGCUGUCGUGUCGUGUCGUGGGCGUCGUGUCUCGAACAUGUCCUUCGAAUUUCCGGGUUUUGCUACUUUGACAUUUGCAACAUGCUACAAGCAGGCGAGCAGAGCACCAGGAGGGGCACGAAGUGCCACCAAGGGGCACCGAGGGACAACGAGGGGUGUCGAGAAUGUGGCACAACAUUCUUCGUUCCUUCGCUCCUUCGUUCCUCGUAUUUCUGCGGGGUCCCAGCUGCUUCGGCUUGUGCCACUGCCACUGCCGCUGCCGCUGCCGCUGCUGCUUCCUGUUUACAACCAACACAUGUUCAGUCUGAGGCACGGCUCUGUGGCAGGAGUGUGUGUUGGUUGCGAGCUUGAGAGCCGUACAUUCCACACUGAAAAUCUGUGCAAAAAGCGGGGGCAGCCGGAGGGGGCCGGACGGGGCGGGGGGCACUCUGCCGUAUGUAGGUCUGUGUGUCUUUUGUGUGCCGCGAGGUUUUUGGCCAUUACAAGCGGGGGGGUGGCAGGAGGGUGGCAGAACUUCCCGUUUUGUAUUUUUUUUUAGUC